UCAACACCCCGGCCAUGUUCUGGUAUCAGUCAGAGCAAGUUGCAACGAGCUUCCAUUUGAGUUCGAGAUAAGAAUUGUUGGUGUUUUUGUUGGAACGUUUGAAACAGAUAGCUGAUCAAGAUGCCUUGCAAAUGCUGUGGAAAUGAUUGCCGAUGCACUGCCGAGUGUGGACCGAACAAGCCCUGCAGUGCUGAGUGCAACUGCAGCUGCCGGCAGGAAUCGGGCAAGUGCUGCUGUCAAACUGGAAGCUGCAAGCAGUGAUGCUGACAAGUCGAAAACCGGUCAUAAAUUAGCCUUUAAGAAAUGUAAAUUCGGUCAUAUUAGAUGUAAGGACAUUUUCGGUCAUAUUAGAUUUAAAUAAAGUCGGUCAUAUUACAGUUCUAGUCAAA